UUAAAGACUAUGAAGAGGACGAGUAGGUUAAGAAUUAUUUUUAUAGAGAAUGAAAGCCAUCGGUUGGAAGCUUUCUAAAAUAAUUUAACUGAAAACCACCUCUGAGUUGGUUCCAGAAAGUUAUGCGAGUAUGGUAACCCGGAAAAUAUAAUUUCGUUAUUUAAAAGGAGAUUAUCUAAUUAGUAAAAUUUUUAAGCAAUUUAUUAAUAAAUUAGAUAAACUAGAGUGGAAUCGCGAAUAAUACCUUUCGUCUCUAAA
rnacentral:ncRNA from 1 species